CCUACGGGGUGCAGCAGUCGAGAAUCAUUCACAAUGGGGGAAACCCUGAUGCAGCGACGCCGCGUGAGUGAAGAAGUAUUUCGGUACGUAAAGCUCUAUCAGCAGGGAAGAAAAUGACGGUACCUGACUAAGAAGCCCCGGCUAACUACGUGCCAGCAGCCGCGGUAAUACGUAGGGGGCAAGCGUUAUCCGGAUUUACUGGGUGUAAAGGGAGCGUAGACGGCAGCGCAAGUCUGGAGUGAAAUCCCAUGGCUUAACCAUGGAACUGCUUUGGAAACUGUGCAGCUAGAGUGCAGGAGAGGUAAGCGGAAAUCCUAGUGUAGCGGGGAAAUGCGUAGAUAUUAGGAGGAACACCAGGGGCGAAGGCGGCUUACUGGACUGUAACUGACGGUGAGGCUCGAAAGCGUGGGGAGCAAACAGGAUUAGAUACCCUGGUAGUC
rnacentral:rRNA from 1 species